rnacentral:rRNA from 1 species
CAUGAAGUUGGAAUUGCUAGUAAUCGCGAAUCAGAAUGUCGCGGUGAAUACGUUCCCGGGCCUUGUACACACCGCCCGUCAAGCCAUGGGAGCCGGGGGUGCUUGAAGUGCGUCGCCGCAAGGCGCGCCCUAGAGCAAAACCGGUGACUGGGGCUAAGUCGUAACAAGGUAAC